rnacentral:rRNA from 1 species
AACGGGUGAGGAACACGUGAGAAACCUGCCUUUCAUUCUGGGAUAACACCGGGAAACCGGUGCUAAUACCGGAUACUCCGUCUUGGCGGCAUCGCCGAGCCGGGAAAAAAUUUUGAUGAAAGAUGGUCUCGCGGCCUAUCAGCUAGUUGGUGAGGUAAUGGCUCACCAAGGCGACGACGGGUAGCCGGCCUGAGAGGGCGACCGGCCACACUGGGACUGAGACACGGCCCAGACUCCUACGGGAGGCAGCAGUAGGGAAUAUUGGGCAAUGGGCGCAAGCCUGACCCAGCGACGCCGCGUGAGGGAUGAAGGUCUUCGGAUUGUAAACCUCUUUCAGUAGGGAAGAAGCGAAAGUGACGGUACCUAAAGAAGAAGCACCGGCUAACUAUGUGCCAGCAGCCGCGGUAAUACAUAGGGUGCAAGCGUUGUCCGGAAUUAUUGGGCGUAAAGAGCUCGUAGGUCGUUUGUCGCGUCGAUUGUGAAAAUCUGAGGCUCAACCUCAGACCUGCAGUCGAUACGGGCAAACUAGAGUGUGGUAGGGGAGACUGGAAUUCCUGGUGUAGCGGUGGAAUGCGCAGAUAUCAGGAGGAACACCGGUGGCGAAGGCGGGUCUCUGGGCAGUAACUGACGCUGAGGAGCGAAAGCGUGGGGAGCGAACAGGAUUAGAUACCCUGGUAGUCCACGCCGUAAACGGUGGGUACUAGGUGUGGGUUCCUUCCUUGGGAUCCGUGCCGUAGCUAACGCAUUAAGUACCCCGCCUGGGGAGUACGGCCGCAAGGCUAAAACUCAAAGAAAUUGACGGGGGCCCGCACAAGCGGCGGAGCAUGUGGAUUAAUUCGAUGCAACGCGAAGAACCUUACCUGGGUUUGACAUGCACAGGACGCACUUAGAGAUAGGUGUUCCCUUGUGGCCUGUGUGCAGGUGGUGCAUGGCUGUCGUCAGCUCGUGUCGUGAGAUGUUGGGUUAAGUCCCGCAACGAGCGCAACCCUUGUCCUAUGUUGCCAGCGCGUAAUGGCGGGGACUCGUAGGAGACUGCCGGGGUCAACUCGGAGGAAGGUGGGGAUGACGUCAAAUCAUCAUGCCCCUUAUGUCUUGGGCUGCACGCAUGCUACAAUGGCCGGUACAAGUGCUGCGAGAUCGUAAGAUUGAGCGAAUCACAUAAAGCCGGUCUCAGUUCGGAUUGAGGUCUAACC